UGGAGGCCAGUAGCACUCCUCCCCUCCCCCACUGUGACAAGCAGAAAUGUCACGGGCAUGGCCAAAUGUCUGGGGAAGGGCAAAGCAGCCUGGGGUUGAUUUUGAUGUAUGACAAAACCUGGCUCGGCAGCCACAGUGACAGCUGGUUGGAGGGGCCCACACCAGUAAGCAGGUCCAGCUGGUCACUGCCCCGCCCAGCGGGUGCUCCGCAGGAAGGCUCAGGAACGCCAGCUGAGACACACAGAACUUGGUGGUUUGCAAACUGUGGAGGUAGGCUAGGGUGCUAGUCCUACCCGUUUUACAGCCUGACUGACUCAUCCCGGCAAGGGGCCAUUCACCGCCACACUGCGGGCAGAGCCCUGCAUGCCCCCCUCUUCCUCGAAUGCUCUUUUGUGGUACGUGAUCGCUGAGAUGUCAAAGAAUCAGUAUUUGGAAGUAAAAGAAAGAAUUCACAUCUGCCUUGAGCUCCAGUCCCCAAUUUACCCCACACAAAACCCAGGGUCCACGGACGAACUGCUUCUGGAAGCAGAUUGUGAUACUGACUUCUUCCCUGGGUUGCAAGGAGAAAGACAGCCCCGAGAGCAGAGCACCUCUCCCUAAGGAAGGAGGAGUAGUGCCUCGCAACAUCCUUCCCCUAAGAACCUUGGCGGAUCUUCACUAACCCAAAGGGCAGAUUCCUUACCUCCACUAUGAGGUGGUGCAAAGAAUUCUCAGUCAGUGAGGCCGUAAAGCUUCCAUGGAUACUAAUAUGAGAAGACAGUGUCAUUCGGUACCAGGACCCUCAAACAGUGGCGAGACUAAGAAAAUACUGACAUCUAACUUCACUAACUUUCUUCCAGAGAAGGGUGUGCAGAGUGUUGUCACAUUCUAAUGCCCCAGGUAUGAUCACGUCCUACACAACUUGCCAGCAACACACAAUGCCCCCGAAGGCCGGGCGUUCGCUUUAGCAAAUGUGCACCUCUCUCAAGGAGUGGGGACCUUAUGAGUUUGAGUGAGAAAUGCCACUGUUCGCAAAUUUUGUCAGGUGCAUAGGUCUGGCUCUGCAGACAUUUUAUAGGGAAGACUUACUGUAGUCCUAUGCGGAUAGCGGUUUGCAAGGAGCUUCAAUAAAGGGAUCGAAUGCAGAACAGCAGAAUCGAAUCUCAUCUCAGGAUGGGCAUUUUAUAGGCCACGCCUGCUGUACCUUUUAGUUCUCCCCUUUCUGGUCGUACCAAAGGUCAACUUCAAGUAACAAUGAUUGACUCCUAGCUGUAGGAGGUGACAACCUGUGAAAAGUGGCUGCCAAUUACACAAAGAAUUAGUA